AUUCCUUUCCGUGCACCUUUCUGGUCAUCAAGGCCCCCUCUGGUAAAUCAUUGCCGUUUCAACACAGGCCCUCCCCAGUUGUGACGUUCCAGAGCUCAUGAAUGCCACAGGGGUAGGGAGUUACAAAGUAGAAGCCUCGGACUCACAAUUAUGAGGAACAAUGGCUGUUUCUAUGGUGCCAAUGGGCAGAGGAGGGAAUUCUUCUUGGGAGCUGGUGCUGAAAUGUUUAGCAAUCAUUUUUCAGUGAGAAUUGGCAGGUGCCUGCCAGGAGGGGGGAUGUUAUGUCAGCACAGGUGUCAGAGAACGCGAGAGGUUUCUGAAGGAGACAAAAAUAUGGAAGGGUGUAGCUCCAAUUGCCACCAGCAACCAUCUUCGACUCUGAGGCAAAUCACCAGAACUGAGCACAGGGGCCCUCGGUAAACAUUACAGAAUGAAUAAAGUAAUUAAUGAUGAAUCUGAACCUUUCAAACACCCUUGCGAGGUUUCCCUUGGGACCAACAGUAAUAGCAUUUGCUAUGAAUGCAAAAGUUAUGGCUGAGCAGGCACUUUUUGUAUCUGGAGGUUUGGGACCACCUCCUCUUGGGUACAUUAACUCGUAAGUGACUCCACUUCAUUCUGUUGUCUUAAUUAGGACCUGCCUGACAAUCAUUAAAAAAUCAGGAAACAACAGGUGCUGGAGAGGAUGUGGAGAAAUAGGAACACUUUUACACUGUUGG
rnacentral:lncRNA from 1 species